GGGAGUUUAGGUUAACUAGACCAGAGACCUUCAAAGUCUCAAGAAAAUAUAAAUUAUUUAACUCCCG
rnacentral:tRNA from 2 species